GAUGAACGCUGGCGGCGUGCCUAAUACAUGCAAGUCGAGCGAACAGACGAGGAGCUUGCUCCUCUGACGUUAGCGGCGGUCGGGUGAGUAACACGUGGAUAACCUACCUAUAAGACUGGGAUAACUUCGGGAAACCGGAGCUAAUACCGGAUAAUAUAUUGAACCGCAUGGUUCAAUAGUGAAAGACGGUUUUGCUGUCACUUAUAGAUGGAUCCGCGCCGCAUUAGCUAGUUGGUAAGGUAACGGCUUACCAAGGCAACGAUGCGUAGCCGACCUGAGAGGGUGAUCGGCCACACUGGAACUAAGACACGGUCCAGACUCCUACGGGAGGCAGCAGUAGGGAAUCUUCCGCAAUGGGCGAAAGCCUGACGGAGCAACGCCGCGUGAGUGAUGAAGGUCUUCGGAUCGUAAAACUCUGUUAUUAGGGAAGAACAAAUGUGUAAGUAACUAUGCACGUCUUGACGGUACCUAAUCAGAAAGCCACGGCUAACUACGUG
rnacentral:rRNA from 1 species